rnacentral:rRNA from 1 species
UACGAAGGGGGCUAGCGUUGUUCGGAAUUACUGGGCGUAAAGCGCGCGUAGGCGGUUUUUCAAGUCAGUGGUGAAAGCCCGGAGCUCAACUCCGGAAAUGCCAUUGAAACUGUAAAACUUGAGGACGAGAGAGGUGAGUGGAAUUCCCAGUGUAGAGGUGAAAUUCGUAGAUAUUGGGAAGAACACCGGUGGCGAAGGCGGCUCACUGGCUCGUUUCUGACGCUCAGGCGCGAUAGCGUGGGGAUCAAACAGG